rnacentral:lncRNA from 1 species
AGAAUCGCUUGAACCUGGGAGGUGCAGGUUUCAGUGAGCUGAGACAGAGCAAGACUCCAUCUCAAAACAAAAAGCAGCUGCACAUCUUAUUUUGCUCCAUGUUUUAAAGAACUAUGCACUGGCUUGUAGGAAUGUUUUUAAAUAAAGAUACUACAGAGAGAGAGAGAGAGAGAGAGAGAAAUAAAACCUUAAUCCCACAACAAGAAAUGGGCUAUUCUGAGAACCGGGCGGGAAGUCCUCAGUGACAGGAUGCUAUCUGUACUCAAGGGAAAAUCCAGCAGGAAUGUUUCCCACCCAGGCGCUGCCAGGCUGAGUUUUUCAUCCAGAUCUAGAGGAGUUUUGUCUUCUAAUGACAAACAGUCAAGAAAAUGAUGAAGACUAAAAUGAAAGAGAAAUGUGUAGCAGGUGGAGAAACAUCACACACUCCUGUUGAUAAGGAUGACAGCGGAGAGCAGUCGGGAAGGAGGCGGUGUCAACAACCAGGUUUAGAAGAAAGGAGAGAGGCGUGCAGAGCCAAGGAAUCCAGGCAGUAGCAUUUUAUUUACUUUAAAACGAC